rnacentral:rRNA from 1 species
AUUGAACGCUGGCGGCAUGCUUUACACAUGCAAGUCGAACGGCAGCACAGGAGAGCUUGCUCUCUGGGUGGCGAGUGGCGGACGGGUGAGGAAUACAUCGGAAUCUACUUUUUCGUGGGGGAUAACGUAGGGAAACUUACGCUAAUACCACAUACGCCCUACGGGUGAAAGCAGGGGACCUUCGGGCCUUGAGCGAGUGGAUGAGCCGAUGUCGGAUUGGCUAGUUGGCGGGGUAAAGGCCCACCAAGGCGACGAUCCGUAGCUGGUCUGAGAGGAUGAUCAGCCACACUGGGACUGAGACACGGUCCAGACUCCUACGGGGGGCAGCAGUGGGGAAUAUUGAACAAUGGGCGCAAGCCUGAUCCAGCCAUACCGCGUGGGUGAAGAAGGCCUUCGGGUUGUAAAGCCCUUUUGUUGGGAAAGAAAUCCAGCUGGCUAAUACCCGGUUGGGAUGACGGUACCCAAAGAAUAAGCACCGGCUAACUUCGUGCCAGCCGCCGCCGUAACAC